UUUCAGGAUCUUCCUAAUUAUGCUCAGCACACUGUUCCUAUGUUUUCACUUCCCCAAGAGAGGUUGUGGUGUGGGAACGCCACCAAAUCCAUGGCCAGAACAAUCGAUUUAUGCAAUGAUAAUAGCUUCAGCUACAUACAAAGCCUAAUCCUUCUCCAUCAAGUGACAUCUCUGAACAAGACUAAAAGCUUAGCUGGGAGAGUGAAUGAAGAAUUAUGUUGCAAUCAAUGUUCAACAUUAUCUGAACUAGAUAAACCUUAUGCAGGGGAAUAAUAUAUAUCAGUAUAAUAGGGUUUAAGAUUCACUACCUAAAUAAUACCAAAAGUUUAUGAUUAACAAGUAAUGUAUAUUAUGUUUGCAAUAUAGAUCUCAAAGACUCA